CUUUUUUUGCCCCGUCCCAACUUUUUUUGGAAUGUGUUAUCAUCAUAUAUUUUUCAAAACAAAUUCUGAGUUUCAAUAUUUAAUAUGAUGUCUUUUUCAUUUUCAUUUAAACAUUGGGUUGAGCAUCAUUGCAUUUUGUUUUUAUUUACAUUUUGCACAGUGUCUCAACUUUUUUUGGAAAUGGGGUCAUAUUACCAAUAAUUAGCAUGAUAAAUGUCAAUGUUAUUAUAUGUGUCAUAACAAAGCAAAUUUUUCAUCAUUAAGGAGGUAUUCAUUUGCAGUCAUUCCACUUCUUUUACAUCCUUGUAGCUCUUGCAGUAUCCAGCUCUUUGACUAGCGUCUCUGUAUGGUUUCUCAGAUUGGUAAAGAGGCAAGUUGAAAUGUUCGAACAGCAGUUUUGGGAAUUCUCCAGCACUCAUCAGCAUGACUCUUCUACACACCGAGCUUCCCAGUCAGUGAGGAGGCAGAGUCAUUUGCUGGAACAGCAGUCUUGGGAAUUCUCUAGCUCUCUGCAACAUGACUCUUCUACACACCGAGCUUCCCAGUAAGUCCAGUCUUUUUCAUAGACCCACGGUCUAUUAUUUCAUGUUAGCUAAUUAGUAAUGCUAAUUGGAUUUCAAAUCAAUUAGCAAAAUGUUGUUGAUUGUCAUUUCAAUCUAUAAUUAAUAGAUUUGUAUUAGAAUCCCCUCUUGCGACCCAGAAAUUAAGACUGUUCCAGCCAACUCCAUCACCAGCAUCUCUGUUUGAUUUCUCAGGUCAGUAAAGAGGCAGGAUCACUUGCUAGAACAGCAGUCUUGGGAAUUCUCUAGCACUCUGCAACAUGACUCUUCUACACACCAGGCUACCCAGUAAGUCCAAACUCUUUCAUUUUUAGACUUCUGUAGUCCCAUUAAAUAGACUCAUUAAUUGCACACACCUG
ensembl:lncRNA